rnacentral:rRNA from 1 species
GACGGGGGAUGCGAGCGUUAUCCGGAAUGAUUGGGCGUAAAGGGUCCGCAGGUGGCCCGGUCAGUCCGCUGUCAAAGCCUGGGGCUCAACCCUGGAGAGGCGGCGGAGACCACCGGGCUUGAGUCCGGUAGGGGCAGAGGGAAUUCCCGGUGGAGCGGUGAAAUGCGUAGAGAUCGGCAGGAACACCCAGGGGGAAACCAGCCGACUGGGCAUCUACUGACGCUGAGGUGCGAGAGCGUGGGGAGCGAACCGG